rnacentral:lncRNA from 1 species
GCGCGGCCGAGAGGCGGCAGCCCCAGGUCCCCAGCGCGCGAAAUUAGUAAAGGGCGCCUGGCCCGAUUCUCAGGCAAGAGGAGAUUAUCAGCCGGAUUCCCGUGCGGGGACGUAGGGGUUGCGUUGUUCAGCGGCCAGGGAUGCGCCGAGGCGAUGUCUCCUCCCUUUACAACCCGAGUAUCGGGGCACGAGGAGGCGCGACCUUCCUGGGCGGAGGACACUGGCUGGACAGGCUGCGUUACACACCUGAAGUCUCAUCCACGCAAAGUGCUUUCAGAAGUGGCUCCCUUCGCCGCAACUCCACACCUCGGGGUAACCGUAGAGAUUGGCAGCAAUGCCCCAGCCCCUCACCAGCACUGUGCAAAGUGACUUUGACAGGCAGAGAAAAGCCAACCCAGUCGAAUUCGUCUGGAAAGCAUUCCAGCAACCCAGAGAGGAGCCUCUGUUUCUCUCUCUGGGAAAAAGCCCCAAGGGUUUUGCUGAACCCAGGUCUUCCUGCUCAUCUCUCAGCAGUUCAGAGCUACAUAAACAACUUCUGACCAUUUACGCAAUCAUGUAAACCUACCCUGACAUCUCCACUAUGUGGAAAAGAUGUUAACUGGAAAACUAUUUUUAAACUACUGCAGUAAGCAAAUAAACAUCCAACUCCAACAUA